rnacentral:rRNA from 1 species
GACCAAGGGUUCCUGUCCAACGUUAAUCGGGGCAGGGUGAGUCGACCCCUAAGGCGAGGCCGAAAGGCGUAGUCGAUGGGAAACGGGUUAAUAUUCCCGUACUUGGUGUUACUGCGAAGGGGGGACGGAGAAGGCUAUGUUGGCCGGGCGACGGUUGUCCCGGUUUAAGCGUGUAGGUGUGUGUUCCAGGUAAAUCCGGUUCACUUUAACACUGAGGCGUGACGACGAGGCACUACGGUGCUGAAGCAACAAAUGCCCUGCUUCCAGGAAAAGCCUCUAAGCAUCAGGUAACAUCAAAUCGUACCCCAAACCGACACAGGUGGUCAGGUAGAGAAUACCAAGGCGCUUGAGAGAACUCGGGUGAAGGAACUAGGCAAAAUGGUGCCGUAACUUCGGGAGAAGGCACGCUGACACGUAGGUGAAGUGAUUUACUCAUGGAGCUGAAGUCAGUCGAAGAUACCAGCUGGCUGCAACUGUUUAUUAAAAACACAGCACUGUGCAAACACGAAAGUGGACGUAUACGGUGUGACGCCUGCCCGGUGCCGGAAGGUUAAUUGAUGGGGUCAGCGCAAGCGAAGCUCCUGAUCGAAGCCCCGGUAAACGGCGGCCGUAACUAUAACGGUCCUAAGGUAGCGAAAUUCCUUGUCGGGUAAGUUCCGACCUGCACGAAUGGCGUAAUGAUGGCCAGGCUGUCUCCACCCGAGACUCAGUGAAAUUGAACUCGCUGUGAAGAUGCAGUGUACCCGCGGCAAGACGGAAAGACCCCGUGAACCUUUACUAUAGCUUGACACUGAACAUUGAGCCUUGAUGUGUAGGAUAGGUGGGAGGCUUUGAAGUGUGGACGCCAGUCUGCAUGGAGCCGACCUUGAAAUACCACCCUUUAAUGUUUGAUGUUCUAACGUGGACCCGUGAUCCGGGUUGCGGACAGUGUCUGGUGGGUAGUUUGACUGGGGCGGUCUCCUCCUAAAGAGUAACGGAGGAGCACGAAGGUUGGCUAAUCCUGGUCGGACAUCAGGAGGUUAGUGCAAUGGCAUAAGCCAGCUUGACUGCGAGCGUGACGGCGCGAGCAGGUGCGAAAGCAGGUCAUAGUGAUCCGGUGGUUCUGAAUGGAAGGGCCAUCGCUCAACGGAUAAAAGGUACUCCGGGGAUAACAGGCUGAUACCGCCCAAGAGUUCAUAUCGACGGCGGUGUUUGGCACCUCGAUGUCGGCUCAUCACAUCCUGGGGCUGAAGUAGGUCCCAAGGGUAUGGCUGUUCGCCAUUUAAAGUGGUACGCGAGCUGGGUUUAGAACGUCGUGAGACAGUUCGGUCCCUAUCUGCCGUGGGCGCUGGAGAACUGAGGGGGGCUGCUCCUAGUACGAGAGGACCGGAGUGGACGCAUCACUGGUGUUCGGGUUGUCAUGCCAAUGGCACUGCCCGGUAGCUAAAUGCGGAAGAGAUAAGUGCUGAAAGCAUCUAAGCACGAAACUUGCCCCGAGAUGAGUUCUCCCUGAGACUUAGAGUCUCCUGAAGGAACGUUGAAGACGACGACGUUGAUAGGCCGGGUGUGUAAGCGCAGCGAUGCGUUGAGCUAACCGGU